GGAAGAGAAAGAGAAGGAAGGAGUAGAGGUAGAAUGAGACAGAGUGCUGUUUUUUCCUUUUUUAUUUUUCUAUACUUUUUUAUUACUAUU
rnacentral:ribozyme from 1 species